rnacentral:rRNA from 1 species
GACGAACGCUGGCGGCGCGCUUAACACAUGCAAGUCGAGCGGUAAGGCCCUUUCGGGGGUACGACGAGCGGCGAACGGGUGAGUAACACGUGGGUGACCUGCCCUCAGCUCUGGGAUAAGCCUGGGAAACUGGGUCUAAUACUGGAUAUGACUCCACGGUGCAUGUCGUGGGGUGGAAAGCCUUGUGCGGCUGAGGAUGGGCCCGCGGCCUAUCAGCUUGUUGGUGGGGUGANGGCCUACCAAGGCGACGACGGGUAGCCGGCCUGAGAGGGCGACCGGCCACACUGGGACUGAGACACGGCCCAGACUCCUACGGGAGGCAGCAGUGGGGAAUAUUGGACAAUGGGGCGAAAGCCUGAUCCAGCAAUGCCGCGUGUGUGAAGAAGGCCUGCGGGG